rfam:Achromatium sp. WMS2 contig-183_136, whole genome shotgun sequence.
UCUUACUCGGGGAGAUCUUGAGAACGAGAGUGAUCAAGAAGUCAACAGAGGCCAUAGUAACGUUGAUAUCUGCAGAAAGGUGAGAGAAGCGAAUGGC